CUGUUGCCUCCUGGUUCCUGCACCGAGGAGCUUCGAGCUUGCUGGUGGGUCAGGGUCGGCCGCUACCGCUAUGGCCUCAGGUGGCGGCCGGUGGCUACUCGGCUGGGCAGCUGCCCGCUGUCCCCUGCGCUGCGCGGCGUGGGUUGGACAUGGGAGCGUGGCUGCGUGGGUGGGGGCGUGGGGCGGCGGCAGUCCGUGUGGAUUAGCCAGGCGGCGGCGGUCCGUGAUGGCCCAUUCCACAAACCACCUGCGUUUGCCCCUUCCCCCGAGCACGGCCCAGCCCCGCCCGCAGCCCACCCGCGCCCUCCCCCUCUCUUUCCCGGGCCCACGCGUCAGUGGCACGCUCGCCUGGCGUCCCGGGGCCACCUAUCAUUCUCCCCUCCCCUGCAAACGGCCGAGUCGUUCCCCCCGCGUCGGUGCGUCGCCCACAUCGCCCCUAGGCCCACCUAUCAGCCCCUCUCUCCCCACCACGUCACCCACUCACCAUGGCGGGGCCUUGAGAGCAUAAAACCCCCCUCCUUCCCCCGCGCGUUAUUGCUCCUACCAGCCACCUCGCGUCGCCGCCCUCGCCUUGGCCGUUGUCGUCGCCCGCCGAUCACCGCCGUCCGCGCCAACGUGCUCGCCGGCGUAGCCCAUGGUGAGUCGUCUACUCCCUAUUUUCUCCCCCUCUAUUUCUCCCUCUGUUGCCCUGGCCGCGGACCAUGCCCCCAGAGAGGGCCCCUCGUCGUCGAGCGCGGCCGGCCAUGCUCCCAGCUUAGGUUUGAAGACAACCCUGACAGCCGGGGCCCACCCGGCAGCCUCACCCUCUUCCCCCUCCCCUUUCCCUCUCACGUGUCUGCUGACCGGUGGACCCCCUGGUCCCACGCGUCAGUACCGCGCACCGCGCCGACCCCCUCUGCUCUGGGUCACCGCCCAGCGGGCCCUGUUCGUCAACGCGCGUCCGCGCUUGCCCUGUGCCGCUGA
rnacentral:misc_RNA from 1 species